UUCGGAUCUAAAGCUCUGUUGUUAGGGAAGAACAAGUACCGUUCGAAUAGGGCGGUACCUUGACGGUACCUAACCAGAAAGCCACGGCUAACUACGUGCCAGCAGCCGCGGUAAUACGUAGGUGGCAAGCGUUGUCCGGAAUUAUUGGGCGUAAAGGGCUCGCAGGCGGUUUCUUAAGUCUGAUGUGAAAGCCCCCGGCUCAACCGGGGAGGGUCAUUGGAAACUGGGGAACUUGAGUGCAGAAGAGGAGAGUGGAAUUCCACGUGUAGCGGUGAAAUGCGUAGAGAUGUGGAGGAACACCAGUGGCGAAGGCGACUCUCUGGUCUGUAACUGACGCUGAGGAGCGAAAGCGUGGGGAGCGAACAGGAUUUAGAUACCCUGGUAGUCCACGCCGUAAACGAUGAGUGCUAAAGUGUAAGGGGGUUUCCCCCCCCCUUAGUGCUGCAGCUAACGCAUUUAAGCACUCCCCCUGGGGGAGUUACGGUCGCAAGAACUGAAAACUCAAAGGAAUUUGACGGGGGGCCCCGCCAAGCGGGGGGAGCAUGUGGUUUUAUUUCAAACAACGCGAAAAAACCUUACCAGGUCUUGGACAUCCUCUGAAAAUCCUAAGAUAGGAC
rnacentral:rRNA from 1 species